rnacentral:rRNA from 1 species
GGGGAAUAUUGCACAAUGGGCGCAAGCCUGAUGCAGCGACGCCGCGUGAGGGAUGACGGCCUUCGGGUUGUAAACCUCUUUCACCCAUGACGAAGCGUAAGUGACGGUAGUGGGAGAAGAAGCGCCGGCCAACUACGUGCCAGCAGCCGCGGUAAGACGUAGGGCGCGAGCGUUGUCCGGAUUUAUUGGGCGUAAAGAGCUCGUAGGCGGCUUGUUGCGUCGGCUGUGAAAACCCAUGGCUCAACCGCGGGCUUGCAGCCGAUACGGGCAGGCUGGAGUUCGGUAGGGGAGACUGGAAUUCCUGGUGUAGCGGUGUAAUGCGCAGAUAUCAGGAGGAACACCGGUGGCGAAGGCGGGUCUCUGGGCCGAUACUGACGCUGAGGAGCGAAAGCGUGGGGAGCGAAC